rnacentral:lncRNA from 10 species
AUGUACACAUCUGCUUAUUACUCUCAAAUAAUUUCUUCUUUCACCUUAUUAUUUCUCAAAUCUUUCCUUCUUUUCCCUCUCCAUAGAAGAAGUUCCAGAAAAUUUAAAAAUCUUUUCAGAAAAGACAGUACACUGAGCAGGAUUUGCACAUCAAGAAAAAGUAGAGACAGGAGAUGGGAGUCAAGUGUUUGGAGCGGGGGUAGAGAAAAGAUUAGGCUGGAAGGGGUAUUGGGCCAGGUGUGGGAGUGUACAGAUCUGUGUGUGUGUGUUUGUGUGUGUGUGUGUUUGGUGUGUAACAUUCUCACUGAAGAUUUACUUGAAAAACUCCAGCUCUGUCUAGCCUGGAUUAACAGAAUGAUGUUUGGGGCAGGUUGGGGGCUUGGGGGCAGGAGACCCCGGAAUGGGAUGUGGUGUUGGCAGCUGGGCUGUUGGGCAGGUGAGAUGAGCUGCAGAAGGAGCAGGGCUCUGGUUCCCAUGCUCGUCCGUCCUGCUGGCAUGGAGCUUCCUCCAGGCUGUGGGGUGGGUGUGGUAGGUGGGGCUUCCUUCCUUCCCCAGACUAGCCCAGCAAUUCCCCAGGAAGCCAGGCCUCUGCUAGUGCUUCUUUCUGCACCUCUACAGGGAGAGUUACCCUGUCUGCACCAAGGAUGGGGACAGCAGAGGAAUCUCACAGGCCAGGUUUGUGCUGUGUACUAACAUGCAAUACAAAUACUGAUGAAAACAAAACUCUUGCCCUCUUACCAAAUGGGAAAUUAAUGUUAUGACUGGAUAAAUUCAAGGUUGUCUAUCUCUGUAUUCUGAUGGAAAAGCAUGGCAUUUAGAAGCAUUGCUUGCUCCUUCAGUUUCUAACAG